UAGGGAAUCUUCCGCAAUGGGCGAAAGCCUGACGGAGCAACGCCGCGUGAGUGAAGAAGGAUUUCGGUUCGUAAAGCUCUGUUGUUAGGGAAGAAUGAUUGUGUAGUAACUAUACACAGUAGAGACGGUACCUAACCAGAAAGCCACGGCUAACUACGUGCCAGCAGCCGCGGUAAUACGUAGGUGGCAAGCGUUGCCCGGAAUUAUUGGGCGUAAAGCGCGCGCAGGUGGUUUAAUAAGUCUGAUGUGAAAGCCCACGGCUCAACCGUGGAGGGUCAUUGGAAACUGUUAAACUUGAGUGCAGGAGAGAAAAGUGGAAUUCCUAGUGUAGCGGUGAAAUGCGUAGAGAUUAGGAGGAACACCAGUGGCGAAGGCGGCUUUUUGGCCUGUAACUGACACUGAGGCGCGAAAGCGUGGGGAGCAAACAGGAUUAGAUACCCUGGUAGUCCACGCCGUAAACGAUGAGUGCUAAGUGUUGGUCUCAUAAGAGAUCAGUGCUGCAGCUAACGCAUUAAGCACUCCGCCUGGGGAGUACGACCGCAAGGUUG
rnacentral:rRNA from 1 species